UACGUAGGUGGCAAGCGUUGUCCGGAAUUACUGGGUGUAAAGGGAGCGCAGGCGGGAAGCCAAGUCAGCUGUGAAAACUACGGGCUUAACUUGUAGACUGCAGUUGAAACUGGUUUUCUUGAGUGAAGUAGAGGUUGGCGGAAUUCCGAGUGUAGCGGUGAAAUGCGUAGAUAUCCGGAGGAACACCGGUGGCGAAGGCGGCCAACUGGGCUUUAACUGACGCUGAGGCUCGAAAGUGUGGGGAGCAAACAGG
rnacentral:rRNA from 1 species